GAUCCUGACGGUAGUCGUAUGCUCGUCUCCGAGACUAAGCCAUGCAAGUCCAAGUACACGUCCUUGAACGACGGAAACUGCGAACGGCUCAUUAAAUCAGUUGCGAUCUACUCGGCGUUCCGCGCCGCCGGAUAACCGUAGUAAUUCUAGGGCUAAUACGUGCGAAGCGCCCGAAGCCGCGAGGCGACGGGCGUUCUCGCCGGAUGUAGGAACCGACCCGGGGACCGCCGGGGCAACCCGGCGCCCCCGAGACGGGGCGAACCACGGUGAAAUGACGGAUCGUCGGCCCCGCGCCGGCGACUCGCCGAAUGAGUUUCUGACCUAUCAACUCGAGACGGCGGGGUAGAGGCCCGCCGCGGUAACGACGGGUAACGGGGAAUCAGGGUUCGAUUCCGGAGAGGGAGCCCGAGAAACGGCUACCACUUCCAAGGAAGGCAGCAGGCGCGCAACUUACCCUAAUCUCGAUUCGAGGAGGUAGUGACAAG
rnacentral:rRNA from 1 species